GACUGAGUAGAGACGUUGUCAUCGUUCAACGUUCGUGAUCGCCACAAGAGGUAACGAUUCUAUCACUGAUCAUGCCCAUUCGUAAGGAUCACUAAAUGGAGAAAUUUUUAAAUUCUGCUGCACCUUGGAUGGCAAUUCUCCUUCAUACAUAACCAACCAUCAUUAUUUUCCAAAACCACUUCCCCGUUGGAAAAUAAGCUCAACAAAACAGUCCACAAGUUAACACUUCCAUUUCGUUUUUAAGUUCCAUCAAUGUAGCUACAUACUCUGACUAAU
rnacentral:lncRNA from 1 species